UUAAGAAUUCUGCAAGCCAUUUAGUGGAUAACUAGGCUCAAGGGCUGACGAAGGGCGUGGCAAGCUGCGAUAAGCCUUGGCGAGCUGCAUGCAAGCAUUGAACCAAGGAUUCCUCAAUUGUUCCGAAAGGAACGGUAACGCAGGGAAUUGAAGCAUCUUAGUACCUGCAGGAAAAGAAAGAAACCUCGAUGCCCUUAUUAGGGUCGACCGAAAAGGGCAGAGAACAAACCGAAUCCUGCAUGGCAACAUGCGGGAAAUGUGGUGUGCUUCAGGUACUUCCCUUAAAAUCAGCUGAAGUCAACUGGAAUGUUGUGCCAUAGAGCGUGAAAGCCGCGUAAGCAAAGUUUUUGGGGAAGAUUCCUGAACGUAAGAGUAUGGCGCGUUGGAUCUCGCGUCAGAAAAUGCGAGCCAUUAACUCGCAAUUCUAAAUACCUCUUGAGUCCGAUAGAGAACUAGUACUGUGAAGGAAAGUUGAAAAGCACCCUUAGCGGGGGGUCAAAAGCGCUUGAAACUAAAUGGCCACAGGGAGGCACGGCUCGAAAGAAUAGACGCUUUUCGAAGUGAAGGUUUCAAAGAACCGGAACGAGUUAAGCUGAUCAGGGUUGUGCCGUACGUCCUGAAGCACGAGCGAGGGAAUUAAUGGUUGUGGCAAGGCUAACUGCUUCACGCAGGAAGCCGAAGCGAAAGCAAGGUUCCGCAGUUUCGAUGAGGGAACAGGUACUCAAGUGCCUGAGUCACAGCUUUUAGACCUGAAGCCAGGUGAUCUACUCUUGGGCAAGGUGAAGCCAAUCAACCGAUUGGUGGAGGCCUGCAACUAGUGUUAGUCCAACUGCUUAGGUGACCUGAGAGUAGGAGUAAUAUGCCAUUCGAACCUGGCAAUAGCAGGCUCCUUCCGAAGUAGCUCUAAGGCUAGCCUGGCUGGAGAUAAAUUGUGGUGUAGAGAUACUGAUUAGAAAGUACUGGUUGGAAACUUCCAGCUUUCUUGUCAAACUCCGAAUCUGCAAUUAUCGUAGAAGGCCAGAGUAGGGGCACCGGCGUAAGGUCAGUGCCCUAAAGGGAAAGAACCCAGACUGAGGUUAAGGCCCAUAAGUGCUGGUUAAGUGUAACGUGAAAAGCGUCGUUAUCCUAAAACAGUAGGGAGGUUGGCUUAGAAGCAGCCAUCCUUUAAAGAAAGCGUAACAGCUCACCUACCUAGGAUGACGGCCUUGAAAAUAAUCUGGGCUAAACCAGCUGCCGAUACCCCGGAAUGCCAGCUGUGCUGGUAGUUUGGUAGGAAGGUGCUCUAAUGGAGCAGAAGCAGGGAAGUGAUUUCCUGUGGAUCUGUUAGAGAUAUGGAUCCUCGCGAUAGUAAUGAUAAAGAGAGGUGAGAAUCCUCUCCGUCGAAAGGGCUAGGGUUCCUUAGCGCUAAUCGUUAGCUAAGGGUUAGUCGAUCCUAAAGUGAACCGUAACACGAGUUCACUGAAUGGGAAACAGGUUCAUAUUCCUGUACCAUGCAAAUACGUUCGGCAACGAUUGCUCGUUUUUCGACGCUUUGGGUUAGGCCAAGCACACUUGUCUGUGUGUUUAACUGGCAUAAAUCUCUGGAGAGCCAUAAUGGCGAGAAAGAGAUUAAAGCUAGGAAUAGCUGCAAAGUUUGGCUGAGACCUAGAGCCCCUGAAAAGAGAAACGAGAUGGAUUUUGCAUGUCCGUACCAAGAACCGAGAAAGGUGCCCCUGGCUGAGAAGGCCAAGACGUCGCAGGGUAACCCCGUCAAGGGAAUUCGGCAAAUUAGCCCCGUAUCUUCGGUAUAAGGGGUGCCUAUAGUUGCAUAAACUAUAGGUUGCAAUAACAAGGGGAGUCCGACUGUUUAUUAAAAACACAGGUGACCGCAAGCCAGAAAUGGUGUGUAUGGUUGCUGACUUCUGCUCACUGCCAGUACGUGAAACUCUCGUUCAAGAGAACUAAGCGCUGGUGAAGAGCGGGCCUAACUCUGAGGCUCUCACGGUAGCGUAAUACCUUGCCGGUUUAUUGCCGGCUUGCACCAAGGAAGUAACGAGAUUCCCAAUGUCCCUGAGGGGGGCCUGAUGAACUCACUUCCCGGUGAAUAUGCCGGGGAUCUCCAAUGGGAAGAGAAGACCCCACGGAGGUUUACCACAGUCUGAUGCUGCGGUUUGGUUUUUAAUGUGGAGCGUAGAUGGGAGUCCUAGAAGCAAUUUCGCUAGGAAUUGUGGAGACAACAAUGGAACACCAUCCUUUGAGGACUAAAUCGCUAACUUGAAAGAGGACAACAUUUGAUUUGGUGGUUGGGCUGGGGUGGCACGCCCCUGAAAAAGUAUCAGGGGCGCCCAAAGGUCUGCUCAUCCGAGUCAGAAAUUCGGAGUGGAGUGCAAGAGCAAAAGCAGGCUUGACCAUGGUCUACAAAGCAAGGAACGUGGAUUCGAAAGAAGGGUCUAGCGAACGUCAGUGUGCCCUUUAAUGGGGCCCUGGUCUGACAGUGAACUUACCCUGGGGGUAAUUGAGUGGUCGCGGGUGAGAGUCCAUAAGCCUUUUCUUUUUCAAAAAGAAAAGCCUUGGGAAAAGAAAAAAUUUUUUUCAAGGAAAAAUUAAUGAAAAAGAUGGCUGGAUUUAUCGACCCCGCGGUUUGCGACCUCGCCGUCGUCUCAAGGCAUCCUGGCUGUGCAUAAGCAGCCAAGGGUGGAGGUGUUAACUCAUUAAAGCCUUACGUUAGUUGGGUUGAGAACGGUGCGAGCCAGUUUGGAUACUAUCUAUUGGAGAUGUUGAGUGCCUGAAGGGAAGAUCCAUUGAGUACGAGAGGAACGAUGGGUCGUGGCCACUGCUUUGCCAGUUGUCUGACAAGGCAUUGCUGGGUAGGUACGCCAUAGCUUAUAAGAGCUGAAGGCAUCUAAGCUCGAAGAAGCCCCUGAAAAGAGGCACUCAUUCCUGAAUCAGUUUGUCCUCCGGGGCAGAUUGUGUAGGGACGAGAGUGACGCUAAAAGAGCGGUUUGAUAGGUGAGAAGUGUAAGCUGGAAGCUUCGGCGACCAGUUAAGCUAACUCAUACUAAGAACUCGAGAGAACUCUUAA
rfam:Archaeon GW2011_AR10 chromosome, complete genome.